rnacentral:rRNA from 1 species
UGGGGAAUUUUGGACAAUGGGCGAAAGCCUGAUCCAGCAAUGCCGCGUGUGUGAAGAAGGCCUUCGGGUUGUAAAGCACUUUUGUCCGGAAAGAAAUCCUUGGCUCUAAUACAGUCGGGGGAUGACGGUACCGGAAGAAUAAGCACCGGCUAACUACGUGCCAGCAGCCGCGGUAAUACGUAGGGUGCAAGCGUUAAUCGGAAUUACUGGGCGUAAAGCGUGCGCAGGCGGUUUGCUAAGACCGAUGUGAAAUCCCCGGGCUCAACCUGGGAACUGCAUUGGUGACUGGCAGGCUAGAGUAUGGCAGAGGGGGGUAGAAUUCCACGUGUAGCAGUGAAAUGCGUAGAGAUGUGGAGGAAUACCGAUGGCGAAGGCAGCCCCCUGGGCCAAUACUGACGCUCAUGCACGAAAGCGUGGGGAGCAAACAGGAUUAGAUACCAUGGUAGUCCACGCCCUAAACGAUGUCAACUAGUUGUUGGGGAUUCAUUUCCUUAGUAACGUAGCUAACGCGUGAAGUUGACCGCCUGGGGAGUACGGUCGCAAGAUUAAAACUCAAAUGAAUUGACGGGGUCAUAGCUGUUUCCU